AUGGGGGGUGUGCGCCGACUGUAUGUGUUGCAUCACUUCGUCAUUGGUGUAAUUUUGUUCGGAGAAACCUCACAAAUCUCAAGGCAAAGUUUAAAGACCGUGGACUUUGAUCAGUACGAUGGUGUGAUUGGAUUUGUUAAUGUAAACAACAACCACUGGAAGUUUGUGUACCUUCAUGCUCCAACAAGCCAAAUAUUCAUCAUUGAUCCUGCUGACCCUGAGAUUGAUCUGGAAGAGACCAGGAAAGCAGCAAAACGCUUCCGCAAAUACUUAAGGACAAGGUUUAAUCUAAACGGACAAAAGGAUUGGUUGACCUUGGCAUGGAAACCUGCCACCAUUUCCCACACAACACAGAGAGAUGGAACUAGCUGUGGAGUCUUUGUCAUGGAGGUGAAGUAAACCAUCUCAAACCACCACCUUUUGUUUUAUCCCCAUGAACCUUCAUGUGUCAGAUUCUUCCAUUUCAAUAAUCAUGACUGUCUUUAAAGGCUGUUAAUAU